UGUAGUUUGUGCAUGGGUAACAAUGAUACUGCACUAACUGUACACUUUUAGUGCUUCUAUUCUCCUCUAGGGUUAUCAACGUUGUGGCAAUUGAGAACACCAGAAAUAGCUAUUUUAUGACAAAUGGACCUGAUGGCAAAGAAAUGAGCUCCAGAGCACCGACCCAGUUCACAUGAGCUACAAACACCCAUCUUCAGCCAAAAUGCCACCCAGUUGUGCCAGAGUCAGAUGGAUGACCUUGAGGUGUAAAGAAUAUGAAGUACUAAUGAUAUAUAAAAAGCAGAUAAAAGAAAGUAUACCAAUAUAGAUAUAAUAUCAGUUUAUAAGGUGAAGAAAGCAGUUGGGAGAAAGAGUUGCACAUUGAUGUGCACUUUUGCCUAUGUAUAUUCAGGAGUAGAUGAUGGAAAGAGAGAAGUCAAAGACGUUGCACUUGCUGUUUCCUACCUAUGGAAUAUUUUGAUUGGACAUCCUUGAAUGGUUGCCUGCUCUGUACAAUUUUUAUAUUAAUCCAAAGACAAAGAACAGAAAAACCUAAGAAGUUGGCAUGCUGGAUAAAGAGUAAUAUCUCAGUGACUGACAUGGUGUGAGUGGAAGAAUGAAGAGGACAUGACAUCAGAAAUACAACAAGCUCUUUUGUGAUGCAAAAGGCAAUAUUUAAUUCUUUAAACCAAUGUCACACCUGUAAUUCCAGCUACUCAGGAGGAGAAAGCAGAAGGUCAGAACUUCAAGGCCUGCCCAGGUACUAUGUUAGGUGUGGAGAAUUACAAGAUCAGACCCACUAAGAAAACAUUAUGAAACAAAUUGCAGUGGGAGGAAGAAUAGCAUGCCAUUCACUAUUCAGGGACCUCUGAAGUUGGGAUGGCUGCUCCAAGAAGUCUUUGAGUUAAGGCGUGAGUCAGGCCUUUAUAUCUUCAUGGGAAUAGUUAUUGGAUUUAUGUUACUGUAGGAAGAGGCAUGAACCUUGGAUAGAUGGCUCCUUUUAAGCUAGAGGCAAUUUCCAAAGAGGGACUCGGCAGAGAGCUGUAAAUCUCCAACACCUGCAGGAGUUCAGGCAAUGAGUGCCUGGGUCUUGAACAGGUAAGAGGGGGUGGGUGGAGUUUCAGGUCUGUGAGGUACAUCACCACAUUCACUAUAGACAACUAAAAGGAACAACAGAUAGUUUACAGCAAGGUUCUGUCUCAACUCCAGAUACAAAUGAACUUGAAAUUAUGAAAAAGUAAAAUUCCAGCAAGAAAACAAAGAAACUGCUUUAAAUGCCAGCAGCUGUAAUUAUGGAAACUUCUAAAAGAAAGAAAUAGCAAGCUUGAGGAAAAGGUUUAUAAGAUGUGAGGGAAAUUCAGAGAUUUCUCAUUCCAGAGGAUGUUUUCCCUCCACUUUAAUAAAGUUAGAUAAUGCUAUAAAACUCUCACUCACACUGCAUUUUACCCCAAUUGCUCAUAGGCAAUCAUGUUCCAAUUGUGUUUUUCUAGAAUGUGAG